rnacentral:rRNA from 1 species
GGGCUCACACAAGCGGAGGAGCAUGUUGUUCAAUUCGAAGCAACGCGAAGAACCUUACCUGGGUUUGACAUGCAUGAAGUAGGAUUCUGAAAGGAUGACGACCGGUAUCCAGUCCGGAACAUGCACAGGUGCUGCAUGGCUGUCGUCAGCUCGUGUCGUGAGACGUUAGGUUAAGUCCUGUAACGAGCGAAACCCCUGUCGUCUGUUGCCACCGGGUAAUGCCGAGCACUCUGACGAGACUGCCGAUGUUAAAUCGGAGGAAGGUGGGGACGACGUCAAGUCAUCAUGGUCCUUACGCCCAGGGCUACAAACGUGCUACAAUGGACGGUACAGAGAGUCGCGAAACCGCGAGGUGGAGCAAAUCUUCAAAACCGUCCCCAGUUCGGAUUGGAGGCUGCAAUUCGCCUCCAUGAAGUUGGAUUCGCUAGUAAUCGCGGAUCAGCUACGCCG